CAAAGUUAUAAAAAUCAUAAAUCAAUAGCUUGAUUAAAGAAACAAACAAUAGAUACCUAAGAGCACCAAAUAAUUGAUCUAGGACGGAAAUAAGUAAAAACCAAACAUAUGCAAAAAAAACAUAUGAAUUAUUUGACACACCAAAUUACGUUGUUACUUCCUUUUUUAUUAAUUAAAUAUGAUGCACAAUAAGCUCUUACAUAUAUAAAAGGGUGUAUCACCUUUGCAAUUUAUUUAUUAAAAUGAGAAUAAACAUUGCUAUGAACCAAAUAUUAUUCAUUGAUCCAUGCAACACAAACGCCUUAAUCUCAACUUGAAAAGAAAGAAAGAUAUUUCCAUUACCAUGGAAUUGUUGAAUACCCAUAAAACCAAAUUAAAAAUGUCAACAAAAAAAAAAAGAACAAUCAUCAAACAUAGAAAAUAUAUAGAGAGAAGUCAUGAGUGAAGAUGAAUAGUCAUUGUCAUUAAAAUGGUACAAUGCUUGAUUAACCACCGUCUCCUAGGUGAAAGAUGAAUAUUCGAACAAUCAAUUUGCUUUUAUGGCGCUACAUUGCGACAACCAAGUUUCUUGGUGGCAAUUUCCUAUUACAAAAAUGUCAUAUGUUAAUCUCCUUGUCUACCCCAUUUCCUAAUCUUAGCGGGUGUUUCAAUUCAAAGAGAACUUACGUUUUAAUAAUCGUGGUGUUUCUUGGUUCUAUCUCUUUUCUUAACCCAUAAAAUAUCAUAACAAAAGAGAACUUACGUUUUAAUAAUCGUGGUGUUUCUUGGUUCUAUCUCUUUGUCUUAGUGGAAAACACAUUGUAGAAGAGAAAAACACAUAACAGAAUAUAAAGGUCAAAACGAUUACUCUCUCUCUCUCUCUCUCUCUCUCUCUCUUUCUUUUGUUUUUGGAAGAUGUAUUUUUUCCUCUUUGCUUUCUGGAUUAUUAAUUUGAGGGCAUCUACAAACUGAAAAAGAUACAAAAUAGUGAUUGAUAAUCAAAAGUGCAAAUUAUAAAAAGAUGCAUCAAUUGGAGUAACUUAUAUGAAGGAAUGAUGAUAGUGCCAGAAAUGCAUGUUAAAUGGCAUGUUUUUUUUUAUGUGAUAACAAUGAAUGACAUAUUGGCAUUGUCAUAUACUCAUAUGCAAACAGUCACUUGCACUUUGAAAAAGAUGUUGGGUUUUCCUCUUUCCUGCACCAAUUAAUUAUUGAACAUGAUAAAAAUAUCAAAAGUUAAAAAGAGUGUAGAUAAAAUAGGCUACACCAAAAGAGUGUUUUACCUUUAUUAGAUGUUAUAGAUAUUCUUGUUAAAAAAUCAAAUAAACUGAAGAUAUAAAAUAGAUGUCAUUUAUAAGAUGUCAAUCUAGAAAUGAGAAUAAGAAAAGGAAUUGAUAGUAAAUUACUCCAUAUAAAAUAAUGAACAUACUUAUAGUUAAUUCAAUCUAGAAAUGAGAAUAAGAAAAGGAAAUUACUCUCCAACGGCGUAGAGUUUCAUGAGAAGCAUU
rnacentral:lncRNA from 1 species